ensembl:lncRNA
AUGGAUGCAGACAUACAAGUAAACAGAAACACAGAACCAAUACAGUGCAGAGACCUCUGGUUGACUGUGCUGUGGGACUCUGGACUCAACCGAACGCAUUUCCUCCUGAUUAACGUGAUGCCUGUCAGCUCGCUGAGACAUUCCCCUACGACCCCUCUAGACCGGACCCCCUCUUCUGCUACUCCUAAUAGACGUGAAACGCUCCAGUCAAUAAUUUUUUCUACUUGUCUUCAUCCCUCUCUCUCUCUGUGUCUCUCCUUCUCAGAUUGCUGCAUGUCAGGAGGAGGUUCACAUCAGAAAGUUCAGCCAAAUGUUAUCUAGCACAGGGAGGUUUCAAAUGGGAGGCCUAUUGCUCCCCCUCUUCUAACUUCUAGUUUCUGACUCCCUCUCUCACUCUCUCCCUUGUGUCUCUCGCCCAAUCUCCCUGCCCCCCCGCGGCUGCCUUUCAGACUCGCAGCCAAUAAGUGUCUGUGAUAACAUCAACAGCUGUCAAAGACCCAGGCAACUGCACUUGUCUCAUAAACCCAAACACCUGUACUCUCUCAUUCUUUUGAUUGUUAUCUCUCAUACACACGCACACACACUGCUCUGCUCUCUAUCACUCACGUUGGUUUGAUUUGCCUGUCAGAAAGAAGGGGAUGUGCCAAGAUCUGUGGAGCCGUGUGAAGGGGUGUGUGUGGGUGUAUUCCAGGACGGGAGGGGGGAAAUUUAUAAACUGAGCGAGAGAGAUGAGAAGGAGAAAAAAGAGAGGGAGAAAGGCAGAGAGUGUCUCUUCAAAAGUUUGGCACAGUUUGAAAGGCAGAACUGGGGGCUUAUGGGGAGGAUGUCACAACAAACUAUAUACUAAGUCACCCCUUUUUUCACUUCUCUACCUCAUUCUCUUGUUUAAUUUAAAUGAGAAAGUGUGUUUCAACAUAUGUUUGUAUUUAAAUGCCAGUCUCAUCAGCACCUUUUGCCUCAUGUGCACCCACCACCUUUCAGCCUCCAGAUGCGUGUCUUUUCCUGGCCUACAACGCUCUUCCUUGGGCACCCUGGCUACAUAAUCCACCUCUCCCUAAAGGCAUUGGCUUCCGUCACGGCUGCUGUCAUGCUGGGCUGCUAUAUCCAUCAUUUAGUCAAUGAGAAGUAAUGACAGUGUAGAGCAAAACAACAGCAGUCUGUCUGCGUGUUUCUGUUUGAAGGGAAACACACCAGGUUGCUAUGAGACGCGGCCCCAUUGGAGCAGGAGCGAGGCCGCAGACGCAGAGGCAUUUUGGGAUUUGAGACUGAUUUGGUGUUUAUGAUCAGGUGCUGACUGGAAACGAACAGGCUGCUUCUCUGGUGUUUUUGAUGUUGUAAAUGUUCGCUGGGAUAUGACUAUUCAUGAGCUUGGGAGAAAAGGGGCGGGGUUUUUGGAGAGAGGGACUGUUGUGGAGACAGGAAGUUCUCAAUCAAAGCCGAGAGGAAGCAUGUUGUCUGUGAGUGUGUGAGCGAGAAAGCAGAGAGAAGGAGUGAGCGAGAGUAAUGAGAAAGUGUUUGUCUAGGGUGAGCUGUUUGUUAUUCUGAUUUAUAUGUCAGACACAUUAAUGGUGGAAUGGCACGCAGUCGUUCUCCUCCUCCGCCAUCGCAAGCUACUGAUGGCCAGAGAGACAGAGAGCUGCUACUCACACUCAGUCUUCUUCUGGUUGAGUGUGCGAUUAUCUGUGAUCAUGCAGGAUUCAGCAUGUGUUAAGGUUUAACCCGUGACUAAUCGCAUUGCCUGUGCUGUAUCACGGCUGUGUUCUAAGAACACUGACUCUCCAGCCUUAGACUCCAUAAAGACCACACAGCAUAGUCUACUCGUUCUAAUAUAAUUCCUGCAGCUCAUGUGCUAGCAACAGUCAUGAGUUCGAUUCCUAUAGGAACUAGGGAAUGCUUGAGCUGAUCAGAGUCUGUGGAUAAAAGCAUCUGCCUAAAACAUUACAGACAUUUACAAUGUUACAUUCACAAUGUUACAAAAAAUGCUGUUCCUUUAAAAUUUCUAAUUGAUUACAGAAUCCUAAAAAAAAUCAUGACAGUUUUCUUUCAUGAAUUUGAUUAUGCUAUUAAAAUUUGACAUGAUAUUAAAAUAUAAUUUUAAGAAUUCUGAAACAAACCUAAAAAUUUGAAAAUUGUCCAGCAUGUAUGAAAGCCAUCGUUCAUGCUAGUUAACUGCAUGUUAUGGUGCUUCGGUUCCCCAGAACACAUCUCAUCUAGCCGAUCAUGGAUGUUUUAUGACAACUGGCUGCCACAUCUUGCUGGCACUGGAGAAAAUGUGAAAAAAAAAAAAAAAAAAAAAAAAAAAAAAAAUGCAAUUCCAUGACUGAAGUGUCACAAUAAAAAAUCUAGUGGAAUAAGCA